rnacentral:rRNA from 1 species
GACGAACGCUAGCGGCGUGCCUAAUACAUGCAAGUCGAACGCUUCUUUCCUCCCGAGUGCUUGCACUCAAUUGGAAAGAGGAGUGGCGGACGGGUGAGUAACACGUGGGUAACCUACCCAUCAGAGGGGGAUAACACUUGGAAACAGGUGCUAAUACCGCAUAACAGUUUAUGCCGCAUGGCAUAAGAGUGAAAGGCGCUUUCGGGUGUCGUUGAUGGAUGGACCCGCGGUGCAUUAGCUAGUUGGUGAGGUAACGGCUCACCAAGGCCACGAUGCAUAGCCGACCUGAGAGGGUGAUCGGCCACACUGGGACUGAGACACGGCCCAGACUCCUACGGGAGGCAGCAGUAGGGAAUCUUCGGCAAUGGACGAAAGUCUGACCGAGCAACGCCGCGUGAGUGAAGAAGGUUUUCGGAUCGUAAAACUCUGUUGUUAGAGAAGAACAAGGACGUUAGUAACUGAACGUCCCCUGACGGUAUCUAACCAGAAAGCCACGGCUAACUACGUG